CUUCCGCCUACAUCGCAUUUGACCUUUCCGAUAUCUCCUAAGAAAGACGUGCAUCGCAGAGAUAAUUUUAGCUGAGCAUUUGUGGUUAAAAAGUGUUUAAAUAUUCUUUCUUUUUUUUUUUUUAUAGAAAUUUACUGAUUGUUUUGUUAGAUAAGAUCCUUAUCAACUGGGGUAAUUUAGAUCCCUUUGAAGCUGUAUUAAAACUGCAAUUUUAACCUUCAAAGAGGUGGUCACCAUUGAAAUCCAUUACAUGGAGAAAAAUCCUGGAAUGUUAACCUCAAAAAACCUAAUUUAUUUUCGACUGAAGAAAGAAAGACAUAAGCAUCUUGGAUGACAUGAGGGUGAGUAAAUUAUCAGAAAACUUUUAUUCUGCAAGUGAAUGUCCUUUACGAGCAAUAGCAAGGUUGGUAUUUUAGCAAAUAAUAUUUUUGUUUAGGUUUGUUUAGGUUUGUAGAGAAAAAGAACCACCCGACUCAAAAGUGGAGUCUGGUGUAACUAGUAACAAGUGGACAGAAUGUUAUGACUUGCCUGUAUAUAACAGAUUGCCAGCUAAAGUUAAUGGUGAGAGUGGAAUAUAGAUAGUACGCUAUAAAAGGAACUGGGGACACUGAGCUAAAUACUUUUGUAUAUACUUGUGUAUAUGUUUUUUUUUUUUUUUUUUUUUUUUUUUUUUUUUGCAGUAUCUCACUUAUCAAGGGUUUGGAGCCAAAGGGGUUUCAAGUGCAGAUCACUUAUGCCCCUUUGGCUCCAAACCCUCAGUAUCCUUUUCUUUCAGAGAUACGCAGUGAUUAAAUUCCCCCAAGACAACACAGUUGACGUAGUUCCUUCCAACUGGCUUGAAAAAACAACAGAGGUAUUUUCAAUUACUAAUAUAUCUGAAAAACUUAAAGGUAUAGUUCACCCAAAAAUGAAAAUCCUGUCAUCAUUUACUUACCCUCAAGUUGUUCCAAACCUUUAUAAAUUUGUUUGACUGAACACAAAGGAAGCACAAUUGUUUAGCAUGAUAUUUAAAAAAAAAAAAAAAAAAAAUUAUGGAGAUAAAUGCUGCUGUUUGUGUUACCAACCUUUACUAAACCCAUCUUUUUUUCAGUUAAUGUCUAUUAUGGAGGGUUGACAUGAAUAUCUGGUGUUAACAGAGAAUAUAUUGCUACUGGCCAAGAAAAAUUUUUACUGCUAAAGCAAAAAGGAGAGACAAUCCAGAUACUACCCUCUGGUCAAAACAUGUUUCAGUGGUUCUGGUGUAUGCAGAUAGCUAUGAGGAAGCCAGACUGAAGGCCAACCAGGCUACAGUGACAUCAAACCUGGAAAGCGAAGAGGAGCCAACACGGAGACCAGUAAGACCUCCAGCGUGAUAUAAGAGACAGCUGGAUAGUGGUGAUGACGAAGACUCACCGCCACCAAAGACACGCAUUGUCAGCACACCAAAAUUUACCCCAAGAACAGAAUAUUUUGAAGAACAAAGACAGUUAAAUACUCCAAGCUGUGGCACCACUCAACAAGGUUUUCUAAGUGCCCAAGAACCAGCACCCACAGUGUCUAACUGGGAAACGCAACAUGAAGACAACACCGAGUUGAAGAAACUAGAAAGAGCCAUCUUCAUUCGACUUGACAAAAUGGACCAAAAGCUGUCAACGAUAGAAACACUUAAGAAGUAUUGCCCAGCCAACCGACAUUUCUGAGUUUUUUCUUAAUCCUUGUAAGAGCACACAGGAACUGGAGGAGUUGUGCUUGAGGAUGAAAGACAGUGAAUGCAAGAAAAAAACUGUCCAUUACUUGAGCCUCCUUGGAGGCAGAACCCCUGGAGAUGCCAUCCGCAGGGUAUUGCGGACAGUCGGAGUAAACAGCGUUUGGUCGCAGUAUAGCAUGAAGGGAAGGAAGGGGAAAAAAACGUUUAAAGACCUUGCCAUUUGCAGUGUGA